rnacentral:rRNA from 1 species
GACGAACGCUGGCGGCGUGCCUAAUAAAUGCAAGUCGAAAGCAGUGGGGACGGGUGAGUAACACGUGGGUAACCUCCCAUCAGAGGGGAUACCACUUGGACACAGGUGCUAAACAGAUACUGCUGGGGUGACCCGCGGUGCAUUAGCUAGUUGGUGAGGUAACGGCUCACCAAGGCCACGAGGCAGAGCCGACCUGAUAGGGUGAGCGGCCACACUGGAACCUAGACAGGGCCCAGACUCCUACGGGAGGCAGCAGUAGGGAAGCUUCGGCAAUGGACGAAAGUCUGACCUAGCAACGCCGCGUGAGUGAAGAAGGUUUUCGGAUCGUAAAACUCUGUUGUUAGAGAAGCGGUAUCUAACCAGAAAGCCACGGCUAACUACGUGCCAGCAGCCGCGGUAAUAC